GACGAACGCUGGCGGCGUGCUUAACACAUGCAAGUCGAACGGAAAGGCCCUGCUUUUUUGGGGUGCUCGAGGGGCGAACGGGUGAGUAACACGUGAGUAACCUGCCCUUGACUUUGGGAUAACUUCAGGAAACUGGGGCUAAUACCGGAUAGGAGCUCCUGCUGCAUGGUGGGGGUUGGAAAGUUUCGGCGGUUGGGGAUGGACUCGCGGCUUAUCAGCUUGUUGGUGGGGUAGUGGCUUACCAAGGCUUUGACGGGUAGCCGGCCUGAGAGGGUGACCGGGCACAUUGGGACUGAGAUACGGAGCAGAGGCCUACGGGAGGCAGCAGUGGGGAAUCUUGCACAACGGGCGGAAGCCUGAUGCAGCAACGCCGCGUUCGGGAUGACGGCCUUUGGGGUGUAAACAGCUUUAGCCUGUGACGAAGCGUUAGUGACGGUAAUGGGUAAAGAAGCACCGGCUAACUACGUG
rnacentral:rRNA from 1 species